CCCGCCGCUAGGGAGUGAUGCGCCCUCUGCAGAGAUCCCUCCGCGGCCGCCGCCUGGAAUUUUCCAGACGCUCUGCCGGCGCUUCUUUCGGACUUCUGCUGGGCAGGGGUGACCUGAGGCGACCCCCAGCAGUUCCCUUCGCUUCCAGAGAGCAGCCCCAACCCGCCUCAUCCACUCCCCACCCACACCUCCCCUCAAGGAACAGGAAGCCUGCCAACCCUCGGCUCCAUCACAGGCUGAGAAGGGGAUUUCUCUCCCCAUCCUCGUCCCCGUUGGAAUCCGCCUCCCCCGCAAGGUGACCUUGAGAUCUGUCGUCGAUCUCAGGAAGCACUUGCUUAGAGGAGUGGGGAUAAUCGGGGAAUUCGAGACCUGGACACUCGGGAAACUGGGAGCCGCCCCGAGUCGUCUACUUGGCCAGGGUCGGGGAGGGACUUUUUUUCUAGUGGCAGUGGAGGAAUCGUCCCGUUGAGCAGUGCCCCAGUGACGCGGCCCAGGACUAUAAAAGCAAAAGUUGUGGCCUGUCCAGCAGGAGUUAGCGACAGGGAGGGCCGGGGGCCUGGGCUUAGUUGUGGAGGGCGGAGUAGACCAGUUUAGGGUCUUAGGGGACCGAUGAGAGAGAUGGCAGAGUUAGAUGAGCCUGGGGGAUUUGGGGUGCCAAGAGAAGGAGGGUUAACGGGCGGACUAGAUCUUGGGGAAAUUGUGCUGGGGAGAGCUGUGUUGAAAGGGCUCUUAGUAGUCCAGGGGGAAGACGACACCCCAGGCCUGGCUGUCGCAGCUGUCUGCUGGAGAAGGGGAACUUGACCUUCGGGUGGGCGCCGCUCCUGCUUAGGCUGAGCGGCCCCCGGUGCCCUGGUUUGUGUAGGAGGAGGAAGACAGAGACGGAGAGGUGGAGGAGGUUGAGGGUCUUGCCUCCCUUGCUGGAGGCGGAGUUGACAAAGGGUUGUGAGCCUGCCUGGGGAUGAGGCCUCAUGUGGUGGAAGCUGCCCUUAGCUUCGCGGGGCUGACAGCUCUGGCCCAGGGCGGUGGCAGUGCUCCCCUUUGGACUUUUCCUCUAGGUUCUGCGCUAACCUGUUCUGCGAGCUCACUCUGCCCACCCCCCACUCCCCCUCCUCCCCUUCACUCUCUCGAGGUUACCCAUUCACUUAAAACAUUGCUUCUGGUAAUCUGUGUUCAUCAUGGCGAUCUGAUGGCACCAGGAGAAAUGGAGCCCCUGGCCAGUGUGAGUCGUAGCGGUGCAGGAGGGGAGACCCUGGAGGAAAGAGCCCGCCUAAAUUGCUGUCUGCAGAGUGAAUUUCCAGAGGCUUAG
rnacentral:lncRNA from 1 species